CCCGUUCCUUUGUCACAUUUUUACUACAUACACAAAUAUAAACAAUUUCUUUCAAGCUAUAAUUUAAUAUUCAGUCAAAAUAUUCUUCAGUUAAGCUAGAUUCAUAGGAGGAUUUGCAAACAUUUUCACCAUUUGCAUAGACUAAACAGAGAUGACUUCAAGCACAUAAAUUCCAAGACUUCAAGCUUACUCUUGCACAACCAUACACAUAUAUUUCUAUAUUUUCC
rnacentral:lncRNA from 1 species